GACAAGUGACCAAAUAUAUGCGGAAAUCAUAAUAAGGUAACAAACAAGUUUAGAGAAAACAGUAGAUCUUAUUUCGAGUCCGCGUAAGAGCGUUGCGAUCAUUACAAGAGAUCAUGAAAGCUUUGGCCGCAAAGGCUGUCAGUGAGUUACUUAGUUCUAGCUGCCUAAUAGCUCAAACCUAGUUGAGUCGCAGCUCGAUAACAAAAAUCGAAAUAGAUACAGAAAAGGUUUUUGAUUGAUUUCGGACUGAACCUUGUUAAAGGCUGCCUACGUACCCCUUUCGAGGAUCAAGCCGAACGUAGUUCAAUUGAUAGAGCUGGACAAGAGAUCGAACUGCCUGGGCGAGUUCGUCUUGUAAUUGAGUGUCAGUCAUAGAAACCGAACUUGUCGAGUAUAAAGCCUAAAGUUUCUAAGUGCAGAGAAUUUUGAGUCUAAAAAGUUCUCUCUCAAUGCCUCUCACCUAGGACUUCUUAUAUACUCGCUCCAAGGUUGGUUUACGCUUUUACUCUUCUGCCCUUAAGCCGUCAUAGCAUAAAAUAGAGAUAUUCUAUUUUUUCCGAUCUUCGUAAUUAUCUUCAAAAUUCCGUAUUUAUCCGUGGAAACUUGACAUUUAUCUUCCCUUGCGAACCAAGCGUAAACCGUCCAACGGUUUACGGGCUUUUGGUUAAGAAAUCAUAAGAUGGGCCUCGAGUCGUGUCUUAGGUCUCUUUGGGCCGUAUUCCGACUCGAAACGUUUAUUGCGACUUCUUUCGAUAAAGAACAGACUUUCCGCGGUUUUUACUGCAAAGUUUGAUCGAUGAUUUAGAAUGGCGGAAAACAUGAACUGAGUUCGCUCCGGUCUUCGGGAGAUAGCAUCGAAGGAUAGACGAGAAUGCAUGGACUGGUGUCCUAUCGACGUUUCGAAAGAGCUCGGUCGCUACGUAGCGACCGAGCUGUGUGCAUGCUUGGUCGCCGCGUAUCGAUCGAGCUUGGCUUGUCUGCGGUCCGAUUACCAUACUCGAGCUUGUCCGCGGCCGAUUUGGAUACAUGUCUGUUGCCUUCGGACAAUCGUAUUUAGUGGUUCGAUUGAGAUUUGAACAAGAUUUUACUGCAAGGCUCUUCGUAAAGAUAUCUUUACGAGGAUUACUUUUCGUAAAAAUUUUCAUGCUGAUUUUUACGGAUUUUCAGACAUUGAUUUCGUCGUGACCGAUUUUGACCCCAACAGUAUCCUUGUUGACAUGGCCCAAGCGUGUGUGCCAUAUUGUGGUUUCUUCUCUAGCAGUUAGUUGCAUACACUCGAUAAGUUCUACUUGUAGUGUGACCUUGUACAAUCGGUUCUUCGUCCUUGUGGUCUUUACCAUUAGUUUUCCAUGCCUGUCAAGUAGCUUGAGCGUGUCAUCUUUUAAGUUAACUUCGCAGCCUACCUCUGUAGCUUGACCUAACGAGAUGAUGUUGCUUCGUAGUGCUGGAAUAUAGUAAACGUCCUUCAAAACUUUCUUUCCAUCAUUAAUAACAAAUUGGAUCGAGCCUUUUCCCUUUAUAUCAACUCAUGAAUCGUCUCCAAACCAUACUUUUCCAGUAGUUGUGUCGUCUAGCUCGUGGAAGAACAUACAGUUCCCACUCAUAUGGUUGCUAGCCCCAUUAUCAAGAUACCAUACGUCCCUUGCAUCUGUUUCUGUAUCAAACGCUUUAGGGUUCACAUUGUUUUCAUUCAGGUAAACUACCUCGUUCAUCAUAAGAUUGUCAGCUUCAUGAGUGUCGUCGUCCUUCAUCUCAUCCUUAUCAACAGUUUCUUGAAGUUUUAGCAUCUUAUCCGGACAAUCAGUUGCAUAGUGACCAAGUUUAUCACAGUUAAAACAUGUGAUAUGUGAGGCAUCUCCUCCAGCUCGUCCUUGUUUAUACGCGUCACGCUGCUGUUGGAAGGAUCCAUAACGACCACGUCCUCUUCCUCUCCAGUUCGUUCUACCACCGCGUCCUCGUCCUCGGCCAUUGUUUCCAUAAUUCUCUUGGCUCGAGUUUAUAUUACCAUACAUCAAUUUUCCGGAGUCAUCAUCGUUAUCGGUUUCUUCUUCGGCUAUUCUUUCCUCUAAUGCUUUCAGUCUACCAACAAUAUCCUCAUAGCUCAUAGUCUUAAGAUCUAGAACUUGCUCAAGUGAAGCAACCAUGUGGAUAAACUUCUUUCUUGGUAAGCUCUUUAAAAUUUUCUUUACAAGCUUAGGUUCUUCGAUUACUUCUCCUAAAGAAGCGGCUUCGACAACUAUUUCUGAUAGCUUGCCAGAGAACAUGUCGACUGUAUCUCCAUCUUUCAUCUUGAUCCUGUCGAAUUCUGCCAUCAAGAUUUGUAACCUAGCCUCCUUGACUCGUUCAGCUCCAACAUGUCUGGCUUUUAUUGCAUCCCACGCUGCCUUUGCUGUAUCUAUGUCCCCAAUUUGCAAGACUAAUGUUUCUGGUAUGGACUAGAAUAAGAACGCAAUAGCCACAUUAUUCUUCUUCUCGUCUUUGGUUCCGGGAUCAAUUGUCUCCCAAACCUCGCUGACUUUGAGUGCUAUCUUCAUCGUUAAGGCCCAGACAGUGUAGUUUGACGGAGUUAACAUCAGAAACUUAAUGGAGUUUGGCCCCGUUGCCUUGUGCAGCACGAUCUCAUCUUUGACGUCUCCCAUGGUUUAUAAGUCGAAGGUUUCAAAACUCUAUGAGGCUCUGAUACCAAAUAUAGAAACACAAACUCGAUAAUAAGAAGUCCUUCUCUUAUUAUUCAAUCACCAAUUCUCAAGAUCACAAUUCACCAAUAUCAAAACCACACAUUAUGCAUCCUACUAUGCAUUCAUAUAUAUAGGACUUAACAUAUUCCUAUUUCAACUAUCAUUAUCAUAUUUCCUAAUCCUUAAAGAUAAUCAUGACUUAAUAAAGAAAAGUAAACUUGAUAUUCAAGCUUAUCCAACAGUUAUUAUAAACUGGUUGGCGGUUGCUAAUUAUACGAAGCUUUCUCUGACUCUGGCAAAAAGUAAUAACUAUACGAUGGUUUAUUCUUGCAAGGUGAACGACACUAAGAAAAAGAACCGCGUAUUCUACUCAUGUAUGUAUAUCUAUUACGGGAUUCGGGCAAGAUACGAUGGUUUAAUCUUGCAUGGUGAACGACACUAAGAAAAAUAACUGUAUACUAAGUAAAGAUCUGCGCUUUGCGCAAGUCAAAAUUGUAUAUAAUAUUUUGUUAAAUAUCGUAAAAUCAAGCAGAGACUUUGUUGUUACAAUAUAAAACUGAAUAUCAAUUGCUCUAAAUAAUUAUUUGGACAAACUGAAAAGAUGCAUUGAGUUAAUGGACUAGUAAAAGAUUUAUAGUUAACGGAAAAAGUCUUGUACAAAAAUGAUGGGCUUAGACUUAAGUGUUUGUAACGAAAUAAUUUUAAGUUUGUCUAAUAUAGAAACUUUGAAAAUCUAUCCUAUACUAAAAGGAACAUAUAAAGCUCCCACAUUGCUCCUCAGAUUAAUUAUAAUCAACCAAUCAGAAUUCAUUAUUUUUGCCAUGUCACACUCUAAUUGGGCUGAUUUUGUUGCUGAUCCGUAAGCCCACAACAUUGUUAGGCUAUAUUAGUUAUUAAUGCACAUGUUUUGUUAUUAAUUAGUAUAUAUGAUAUUUUGGUCCAGUAGCCCAAUACACCAGAAUCCUUAAAACGCAGAUCUUGAUCAUUUCUUCGACAUCCUCUCUUCAUCGUUUCAUCUUUUUUUUUUUUUUGAAAGAUUCAUCGUUUCAUCUUCCUCAACGGUUCGUCGAUCAAUCAGCACACUACUCCAUAAUUGAUCAAUGAAUCCUCCAGAAAUCCCACUUAUGUCUUCCUUUCACCUUCCUUCCUCUCAAUUUCUAUAACAUUCCUCCCAAUGGAUGGUAAUCCACCAAAAAGUCUUCCGUAGCCAUUGGCAAUGCCGAAUUUCUAGAUCGAACGAACACACAUGCCUUUCAUAUGUUCAUGUCUGCCUUUCUUCAGGUUCCAACUCCCUUUUUCACAAUAUAUAAACAUAUCCUCUGAUUCUAUGCUCCACCAUCAUACACGACAAAUACAUCACGGCGAGAGAGGCAUGCUUACAGGUAUAGACCCGUAACUAUGAUGAGAUUAUUUGAUUCCCUCAGACUCUAUACGCUUACUAUUGGUUCAGCUAAUUCACCAUAGCCAUCACCCAAUUCUUCAGUGAUGUAUCUGCAGGCUUGGUAGAAGCGGAGCUGCGUUACCAGUGAAUCCAGUUCGGUCAAACAACAGUCUCUGAAGCAGGUCGAAUCAUGGUAUGUAUAUCCAUUCUGUUAUUCUCCUCUCCUCAUAGCUGAACCAUCUAUUUCUGCAAUGUUUGUUUCUUUCUUAUUUUCGCUUUGUGGGUUAUUCUUCCGAUGAUCUGGAAUCUGAAAAGUUUCAAGAUUUGCGAUGAAAUCUUCUCACUGACUUUAUAAGUUUAUUUGGUUGCAUUUCAGUUCACUUACACUCAAACCUGGUAAAAUAACUUCUUUCUCUUUAGUUGUAAUUGAUCAAAAUUGUUUAGUUACAAACAUCGGAUGCUCAACUUUGUGUUUGAAACUGUAACUUUUCUGAAAAUAUUGUUAUGUAAAAGUCAAAAGAUUGCAUUUUUAUGUUUCUUGAUAAGAAUAGAAGCCUUAAAAUGGCUAUUGAUCCCAUAAUGUUUAGUUAAGCUUUGUGACAGUGACUGUUAAAUCGCUAACUUUUGUCACCAUGUGUCUCUGUUGGUAACAUCUGAUAGAAAUCCUAGGAAGAUAGCUACAAGGUUACUUGAUCCUUUUCUUGCUCACUUGAAGACAACACAAGAUUAAGUUGCUAAAGGUGGCUACUCAAUUGUUCUCAAGCCUGAGGAUAGUGACGGUGCGACUUGGUUCACUAUUAGUAAGUAAACAUUUGUAAAACACCGUCACUAAUUUCUCACUUAAUCUUUGCUUGGCAGGUUUUGACAACGGUUACAUUCACUGAGAUCCUCCCGUCGACAAAAGCCAUCGUCUCUUUCAAAGUCCCUGACAACAGUUCUGGCAAGGUUUAAAAAAUAAUAGUAAUAACCCUUUUGUGUAUGCAUUUCAGUGGUUUUGAGAUUGAUACCAUCAACUUAUGAAAUCUGUUAACAACUUGAGGUCCAGUACUUCCAUGACCAUGCAGCAGUCUCCGUACCGCAGCUUUGAAGCAGAACCCAUUGAUCGAUGUAACAGCCACUCUAGAUACACCAGUCAUUUGGUGCUGACGCUGGAUAUGACACAUCCUCCAAAACUUUCACCAAGUACAAUGCUAGAAACGUUACAAAGUACACUGAAUCAUUAUUCUCCACUCCUCACGCAAUCCAUCAUUGAAUGCAUAUACCAUUACUUCAUUUCUCUGAAUCCUGGAGAUUACCUCAACUAUAAAAAGGUAUGUUAUAUCCAUCAAAUUCAUCGGUUCAAUCUUCUCAACUAUAAGGUCUUUCCUUUUUUUGUGUUAUUGUUCCUCACACAAAGAGAGAUCAUUUUUUUUUUGUUCUUUGUUUCUUUUUUAUCCGUUUCAGAGUUUGUAAUUCAAAAACAAAAUUAAUUUGAAGCCGGCUACACCGCAGAUUGAUCGUCUGAGUUUUGAUAUUUAUUCAAAGUCUCAGUUGUUUUUGAACUUUGUCAUUUUUUUAACCAGCACUUUGUCUUCUUCAUGUUUGUGUUUUAUUGGUUCUUCGCUGAUCUGUUUGCUUGGUUUGUUGUUCCUUUCAGUUUGUGAACUGUAUCUUUCUCUAUACCCUAAUAUUGAAUGUUUCUAUCUACAUCAGGAACCAAAACAGAAUAACCUUCGUCAAAAUACUUUGGCACUGUAUUGUCUACAUGAGAUAACAAUGGUGAGUUUCACAUUAGCUUUUACUUUUGGAAAUCUGUGAACCGUUUUGACAAGGUGAAGCAUAACGUUUUCACUUGAUAACCUCCUCGAAGACCAAAAAAGAGAUCAAGAACUGUUCAGAAACAAAUGAAUGUAAUGUUAUAGCACAAAUAAUGUUACAGCUUGCUUUGUUGCUUAACAUUUUCAUUCUUGGUUGCUGUCUCUUUUCCGGAUUUGGCUAGCAGAGCAAGUAACACAGGCUCUUAUGAAUCCCCUGAAGCUGCGGAAACAUGAUCAGAGGUGUGAUUCCUUGCUUUGUUUUUUUUUCUUCGGUUUCUUCAAUUUAGUGUCCACGCAACUCUUUGUUCUAUGGUUAAUUUCUAUACACAUUGCCACCAUUGAUUCCAGAUUAUAAUAAUUCAUUGUGUUUUGGAGUUCCUGCUGUAGAUAUAUGUCUAAGCCAUUCCUCAUGUUUUGAUGUUUGAUAUAUUGUUAUAACUGAAAGUCAACUGGUACAAAUAUUAUUCUUGGUAUUAUAUAUUGAUUCAAUAUUUUUGAUCCAGUCACUAGAAAGACAAAAGUGAAACUGUGAAGAAAGGUAAUAGUACUCUUUGAUCAAUAUAAGAAUUCCUUUCUUGGUUCGAUGAGUGUGCUAAUCUCACAUGGAUCCUCGACAAUCUUUUACCAAAAAUCCAAACUAAAAGUUGGUUGUUAUAAUACAAGUUUUGUUGUACUUAAGGGAAAUGUUAUGUUAACGAAAUAGAAAAAGAAACUACAAGUCUUACAAACUUAUUACUAACCAAGUAUUUUACUAUUAUAGUUUCAAAAAGAAAAGUAUUUUACUAUUUUCAAUCAAAUGACAUUUUCUAAAAAAUAUGAUAUUAUGAGUACUAAUCACUGAACAUUUAAACCUAUACCGUUUCUAAGUUAGUUAAAAUACAUUUGAUCCCCCUUCUAAAUCAACACAUAUAUUACUAAAAUAUUAAUUUCAUAUAUUUAGUUAUUUACAAUAUAUAAAGUAUCAAUAAUAUUUUGGAUGCAAAAAUUUGAUCAAAUAAAUAUAAGGGGACAUAUUUUCAACCCAUAUAUAAAAAAAGCUCAACACGUUAAAUAAUAAUAAUGUAAUCAGUGAAUAGUUAAUCAAAAAUUUAAGACGAAACAUUUAUAAUUUUCUUAUUUUAAGAGUGUGAACAAUGGUAAAGUAAAAAUAUUUCUAUGUAUGCUUGAGUAUAUGAUAUAUAUUAUAUUUGUUUAGUAAUUUUCACGACACUAUUAAAAAGAAUCCAUUUCAUCAGAAAUAAUAUAGAUUAUUCAAAAUUUCAAUCAAAAAUGAAAAAAAACUAAAAUUUGAUAUUAUAUCAUAUAUGAUAUCAAAAGAAGUAGCAAGAGAAAAAAAUAAAAAUAAAUCAACAACAAAGAAAUUAUUCUAUCAACAACAAAGAAAUUACUCCAUCUACAACUCAUGAGAUAAUAAUCAAAGAAAUACAACUAAUAACAACUUCUCAACAUCAUCCGGACUAUUUAUGUAUUCAUAACUUAGUUUUGGUAUUUUAGAAAACUAAAAAUAUAUAUAUUUUUGUUACAUAAAAAUGCAAGAAAAAAUUAUAUGUAACAUUCACCCAGUAAAAAGAGUAAUAUGUUCACAUGAAAGUUCUACAAUAUUCUUCAUAAAUUAAGGUUUAUAAAUAAUUAAUCCGGGCGUAGCCCGGGAAGGGACCUAGUAUUGCUAAAAGAGGAUUAGAUUUGUGCGGCAAAUCAAAGAAAAACAUUUCAGAUCACAAUUCCAUUUAGAACGCCACAUUUGGUAAAUUAAAACACCACAUUUGGUAUUUAUUUUAAAUUAUUUUGUAUUCUAGAAAGCAUAUAUACUGUAACCAAUAAUGAAUACUGCAAUAUCUAUACUAUACUAAAAGGAGAAUAAGUUCAAAGCUGAGGGCAUUCACAUAGGAUUAAUAAAAUCAUCCAAUCAUAAACAUUUAUUUGACCAUGUCAGCACUGCUCUGUCGACUUAGAACCGGACAUUCAAAUGGGCUUCUAUAUUCCGAAAUGACCCAGCCUUUUCCUUCCCAGCUUGAUUGUCCCAGACCUUUACACUUGGUCGUUUCAACUCUCUUUACACUUCGUCGUUGUCUUAAAGUCACUUCCCCUUCCUCUUAUUGUUCCUUCUUUCUUUUCACCUUCCUAUUUACUUAUAAUUGAUUUUUGUUUUGUUUACAGAUCAAAGAAGGAACCGGGAAGGAGAAGAAGUGGUGUUACAGAGCGGUGUCUCCGGCUUCGUCUCUCACUCACUCUCCGUGUUCUGAUUCCGGUUUUGUUUUUCUGUUCUUAGUAAAAAAGGCGGAGUAGGCUGAAGAAGCUUGAUGAUCAUGGUCUCGGCGUCAACAAUGGUGAUCUCGGCGUCAACAGUGGUGGUCUCGACUUCAUCAAUGGUAGCUUAGCGUGGUGGAUGAGGCUGAAUAAGCUUACCUAUGGUGUUCUUGGCUGCUGGUCUCGGCCUCAGAGAUGAAAAAACCGAAGGAGCUGAAGUUGACGGCGAAGAAGAUGAAGUUGACGGAAAAAAGUUUAGAUGUAGGGAUAAUUUUUUUUUUAAUUAGUUUACACUUUUUAGGGUUACAUUUCCAAACCGGGUUUUGUAAACCAGAAUUAAUUAUAUUUGGUAGUUUUAAUUUUUAAUUAAUUUCGAUUCCAACAUAUAAAAGCUAAUUAUAUAUUAUAAAGAAAUUUGUAUAAUUUAAUGUGUUCUAAAUUUUUAAAAACUAUAAAGAGUUUUGGAGAAUUUGGGGAGUACGAAUUUUUUUAAGAAAAAUUUAAUGUGUUCUAAA
rnacentral:lncRNA from 1 species